AUAUUUGCCCAGCAGGGUAAAACCAUGAUCUAAAAGGUGGUUUCCCUAUGGUGAGGCUCUUCAAUUGCACUCUUUGGUUGGGUUGACUCUUGUGAUUUCCCCAAAUGUGAGAAACUCAACUGCAUAACUGAUGGCAGUGUUAUAAGAAUGGUAGCAAACUG